rnacentral:rRNA from 1 species
GUUUGAUCCUGGCUCAGGAUUAACGCUGGCGGCGUGCCUAAUACAUGCAAGUCGAACGGAAACCUUCGGGUUUUAGUGGCGAACGGGUGAGUAACACGUAAGCAACCUACCCUAAAGACGAGGAUAACCAUUGGAAACAGUGGCUAAGACUGGAUAGGAAGAAAUAAGGCAUCUUUUUUCUUUUAAAAGACCUAGUGAUAGGUAUACUUUAGGAGGGGCUUGCGCCAUAUUAGUUAGUUGGUAGGGUAAUGGCCUACCAAGACGAUGAUGUGUAGCUGGACUGAGAGGUUGAACAGCCACAUUGGGACUGAGACACGGCCCAAACUCCUACGGGAGGCAGCAGUAGGGAAUUUUCGGCAAUGGAGGAAACUCUGACCGAGCAACGCCGCGUGAACGACGAAGUACUUUGGUAUGUAAAGUUCUUUUAUCAAGGAAGAAAAGCAAGUGGUGAACCAUUUGUUUGCCGGUACUUGAUGAAUAAGCCCCGGCUAAUUAUGUGCCAGCAGCCGCGGUAAGACAUAAGGGGCAAGUGUUAUCCGGAAUUAUUGGGCGUAAAGGGUGCGUAGGCGGUCUAGUAAGUCAGUGGUGUAAUGGCAACGCUCAACGUUGUCCGGCUAUUGAAACUGCUAAACUUGAGUUAGAUAGAGGCGAGUGGAAUUCCAUGUGUAGCGGUAAAAUGCGUAAAUAUAUGGAGGAACACCAGAGGCGUAGGCGGCUCGCUGGGUCUUAACUGACGCUGAGGCACGAAAGCGUGGGGAGCAAACAGGAUUAGAUACCCUGGUAGUCCACGCCGUAAACGAUGAGUACUAAGUGUCGGGUUAAACCGGUACUGAAGUUAACACAUUAAGUACUCCGCCUGAGUAGUACGUACGCAAGUAUGAAACUUAAAGGAAUUGACGGGACUCCGCACAAGCGGUGGAUCAUGUUGUUUAAUUCGAAGAUACCCGAAAAACCUUACCAGGUCUUGACAUGUUUUUGCGAAACGGUAGUAAUAUCGUGGAGGUUAUCAGAAACACAGGUGGUGCAUGGUUGUCGUCAGCUCGUGUCGUGAGAUGUUAGGUUAAGUCCUAAAACGAGCGAAACCCUUAUCGUUAGUUGCCAGCACGUUAUGGUGGGGACUUUAACGAGACUGCCAGUGAUAAAUUGGAGGAAGGUGAGGAUCACGUCAAAUCAGCAUGCCCCUUAUGACCUGGGCUACAAACGUGAUACAAUGGCUGUUACAAAGGGUAGCUGAAACGCAAGUUCUUGGCCAAUCCCCAAAAGCAGUCUCAGUCCGGAUUGAAGUCUGCAACUCGACUUCAUGAAGUUGGAAUCGCCAGUAAUCGCGAAUCAGCAUGUCGCGGUGAAUACGUUCUCGGGGUUUGUACACACCACCCGUCAAACCACGAAAGUUGGCAAUACCCCAAAACGGUAGCCUAACUCGUUUAUCGAGAGGGCGCUGUCUAAGGUAGGGUCGAUGAUUGGGGUUAAGUCGUAACAAGGUAUCCCUACCGGAAGGUGGGGAUGGAUCACCUCCUUUCU